rnacentral:tRNA from 1 species
GGGUCGUUAGCUCAGUUGGUAGAGCAGUUGACUUUUAAUCAAUUGGUCGCAGGUUCGAAUCCCGCA